rnacentral:rRNA from 1 species
UACGAGAGGGGCAAGCGUUAUCCGACAUAACUGGGCGUAAAGGGUCCGUAGGCUGUAAAGUAAGUUACUUGUUAAAACUUAAAGCUCAACUUUAAGACAGCUUGUAAUACUGCUUUACUUGAGUUUUAUACAGAAGAGUAGAAUUUUAUACGAAAGGGUAAAAUCUGAAAAUAUAUAAAGGAAUAUCAGUAGCGAAGGCGACUCUUUGGUAAAAACUGACGUUGAGGGACGAAAGUGUGGGUAGCAAACAGG